UCAUACGGAGGUCCCAAGCAUUAUCCGGUUUUAUUUGGCGUAAAGAGUUCUGUAGGCGGUAUUGUAAGUUACGGGUUAAAUCUUUCGGCUCAACCGAAAUUCUGCUCGUAAUACUGCAGUACUAGAGGUAGAUAGGGGAGGGCGGAACGUAUGGUGUAGCGGUGGAAUGCGUUGAUAUCAUACGGAACACCAAAGGCGAAGGCAGCCCUCUGGGUCUAUUCUGACGCUAAGAGACGAAAGCGUGGGGCGCGAAACGGAUUAGAUACCCGUGUAGUCCACGCUGUAAACGAUGUCUACUAGAUCGUGUUGUCCAUUGGAUGAUGCGUGUCGCAGCUAACGCAAUAAGUAGACCGCCUGAGGAGUACGGUCGCAAGAUUA
rnacentral:rRNA from 1 species